UACGGAGGAUGCAAGCGUUAUCCGGAAUGAUUGGGCGUAAAGCGUCCGCAGGUGGCUUUGUAAGUCUGCUGUUAAAGAGUGAGGCUCAACCUCAUAAGAGCAGUGGAAACUACAAGGCUAGAGUACGUUCGGGGCAGAGGGAAUUCCUGGUGUAGCGGUGAAAUGCGUAGAGAUCAGGAAGAACACCGGUGGCGAAAGCGCUCUGCUAGGCCGUAACUGACACUGAGGGACGAAAGCUAGGGGAGCGAACGGG
rnacentral:rRNA from 1 species